rnacentral:rRNA from 1 species
UAUACAUGCAGUAGACGCUGAGGUUUGGUGUUUACACUAGACUGAUGAGUUGCGAAGGGGGAGGAACGCGUAGGUAACCUGCCUCAUAGCGGGGGAUAAAAAUUGGAAACGAUAGCUAAUACCGCAUAAGAGUAAUUAACACAUGUUAGUUAUUUAAAAGGAGCAAUUGCUUCUCUCCGAGAUGGACCUGCGUUGUAUUAGCUAGUUGGUGAGGUAAAGGCUCACCAAGGCGACGAUACAUAGCCGACCUGAGAGGGUGAUCGGCCACACUGGGACUGAGACACGGCCCAGACUCCUACGGGAGGCAGCAGUAGGGAAUCUUCGGCAAUGGACGGAAGUCUGACCGAGCAACGCCGCGUGAGUGAAGAAGGUUUUCGGAUCGUAAAGCUCUGUUGUUAGAGAAGAACGUUGGUAGGAUUGGAAAAUCUACCAAGUGACGGUAACUAACCAGAAAGGGACGGCUAACUACGUGCCAGCAGCCGCGGUAAUACGUAGGUCCCGAGCGUUGUCCGGAUUUAUUGGGCGUAAAGCGAGCGCAGGCGGUUCUUUAAGUCUGAAAGUUAAAGGCAGUGGCUUAACCCAUUGUACGCCUUGGAAACUGGAAGGACUUUGAGUGCAGAAAGGGGAGAAGUGGAAAUUCCAUUGUGUAGCGGGUGAAAUGCGUUAGAUAUUUUGGGAAGGAACCCCGGGUGGGCGAAGCCGGGUUCUCUGGUCUGUAACUGGACGCUGAAGGCUCGAAAGCGUGGGG